CUUUAUAUAUCAAUAUCUUUAUAUAUUGCUUUGUAUAGAACACACUUCAUUUCAUUUGUCUUCAUAUUAUAUAAUAUACAUAUAUAACAGUCAUGACAACAAUAUCAAUAUAUAUAGAUUAUAUACCAGCAUGCCUUUAAACAGUCUACUCAUUAAUACCUAUGUACAUAUUAAUGCUAACAGUCAUGUCAUACAGAAUAUAUAUAAGAGUAUUGAUCACCUUCACCUCCAAUUUCACUAUAGAACAAUGAAUAUACAUCACAAAGUGUCGCCUUUUCAAAAACCCAAAAACCAAAGAAUUUCAUGACACAAAAUCUUUGUUGGGUAUUUCAUCAAACAGCUUCUCUGCUACAUGGGUGAAACCCAUGUUAAUAUUGUUGGAGAAUUUCUCCAUCCGUAAUCCUUAGAUUGAAUGCGGAAGUCCUUAUGGUCAUUACUUCAUUCCGAUAACCUUAUGUUUAUGCCCAUACAUAAACCCAUAUGGAACGACCAUUACCUUGUUGAGCCAUUUCGGAAUCUCGACGUUAUGAGGGUGAGAUGAUCUUCCAGAUGUUAGGGCGUCGAAUGAUUUUCCUUAUGCUUCUCUAUAGAGGAAUGAGAGAGCUCUUUUCUUGAGUGUUUUCCUUAUGGUGAGAGUGUGCCUUAUGUGAGGAG
rnacentral:lncRNA from 1 species